rnacentral:rRNA from 1 species
UAGGGAAUCUUCCACAAUGGACGCAAGUCUGAUGGAGCAACGCCGCGUGAGUGAAGAAGGUUUUCGGAUCGUAAAGCUCUGUUGUUGGUGAAGAAGGAUAGAGGCAGUAACUGGUCUUUAUUUGACGGUAAUCAACCAGAAAGUCACGGCUAACUACGUGCCAGCAGCCGCGGUAAUACGUAGGUGGCAAGCGUUGUCCGGAUUUAUUGGGCGUAAAGCGAGCGCAGGCGGAAUGAUAAGUCUGAUGUGAAAGCCCACGGCUCAACCGUGGAACUGCAUCGGAAACUGUCAUUCUUGAGUGCAGAAGAGGAGAGUGGAAUUCCAUGUGUAGCGGUGGAAUGCGUAGAUAUAUGGAAGAGCACCAGUGGCGAAGGCGGCUCUCUGGUCUGCAACUGACGCUGAGGCUCGAAAGCAUGGGUAGCGAACAGG